UACGGGGGGGGGCAAGCGUUGUUCGGAAUUACUGGGCGUAAAGGGCUCGUAGGCGGCCAACUAAGUCAGACGUGAAAUCCCUCGGCUUAACCGGGGAACUGCAUCUGAUACUGGAUGGCUUGAGUUCGGGAGAGGGAUGCGGAAUUCCAGGUGUAGCGGUGAAAUGCGUAGAUAUCUGGAGGAACACCGGUGGCGAAGGCGGCAUCCUGGACCGACACUGACACUGAGGAGCGAAAGCCAGGGGAGCAAACGGG
rnacentral:rRNA from 1 species